GGGGGCGGGGGUGUCCAUCGGCUGUCAUUUGUUUCUGCUGGCUGUCAGCGCUUCUCAUUGCCUUUCUGAUUUGCUUGGGGAAAAUCCUUGAGUAGCGAGGAAGGACAACUCACCCUGAGGAGGAGAUAGGCGUUUUCCUGCAGUAGCUUUGAGACAGCGACCCAGCUCCCUGCAAAAGCCUAUUUUUACUGCGGAUGCGCGAUGUCUCGUUUGUCUGGCACAGCCCUGAUUUAUAUUGACUAUCGCAAAGUAAUUCUCAGUAUUACUCACUUUCACUCUCUCAUGUGUCCCAGUUUCACAAGUUAGGUGGUCAACAGGAGUGAGUAAUAUCUGAGAAAAACGUGGUGCUACUUUGUCGCCCCCUCCUCCCAGCCCGACGUCACCAUCAUCAUUAAAAUGGGGAAAUGGGUCGAAUGAGAACGGUGCUUCUGCCUUCUUAACGCUGUCUAUUGAGCACUUCAUCUGUGAGAGGACCUGCACUAGAAUAUGGGGAAAGGAAGGUGAGAAACCAAGGUUCCCUACAAUCUGGAACUCAUUAGAGUUGCAAGAAAGCAUGCUACCACUAGACCCAGUAAACUCCUUCAGCCCCACUCUCGGCCUCAGUGAACAACCAGA
rnacentral:lncRNA from 1 species